CAGGUGGAAAGUUAGUGCAGGUCCUGGGUGCCAAGCGCACUAAACCUUCUGUUAGCGCGACCAGGGAUCUUGCAAGAAGAGGAUCAGUAAAAGAUGGACUUUGAUCUGGUUGAGAGCUUCCACGUAAGGUUGUCUGUUUCUACAUUUUCCAGAACAUCAUGAGAUCCUCCAGCAACAUAAGAGUUAUUGAGUAGUAAAAUGCAAUCUAGCAACAUAAUGGAUUCCCCCACGACUACGAGCAUUGGAGGCUGGGAAUCCUUGUGUGAUGUUCAAGGACAGAAUGAGUUAACAUAUUUGCAACUAUGUUAACAGCAGGAUACAAACUGUAUAUUACUGUGCAUAUACAUAUGCAUAACAGAAGUAAAGCAUCUUCCUUGACAGAUUAAAUCAGCAUCAAUUGCAUAAAUAUAUUUAUAAAAAAACAUUAUGUAAGAUUUGCUUAGUUACAAAUGUAAUUUAUAUUCAGUUUCUCACAAGCAGUGUUUUCUUAUUCACCGAGUGUCACAACUAAGCAUAUCAUUACUUGUCCUAUUUCUAAUUCUUCAGCAUGAGCAUGCGUCCUCUGGAAAAGCCUCUUGUCAUUAUUGUGCUGACAUCUGUCAGAGACCUGGCAUAAAAUACUCGUCCUAGCUGCAGCUCUGUAACUGAUUUCCCAUGAAGAGGCUAACCCUUCUAUCACAAUCAUAUGAAGUACUUCAGCAUUCUAAGGGUCUGCACUGCAUCGUUUUUGUUUUCUGUAAUAUCUCACAUGUUCUGUAAGAGCAGAUGGGUUCAGGCAGCAUGCUGUAUAUAUGAAAGGAUUGUCAAAACUCAUUUUCACCAUUGGAAAUCUACAACCUAAUUUUAGACGAUAGAUAGAAAAUAUUUUACAGGUCCAGUACAUUACAUGCAUGCUUUUUAUUUAUUUAGUAUGAUGUUGUUUAAUACACAAUGGUCAUUCUAACAUUGCAGAGUGGAUGGUUUGGAAGUAUUUUCAAAGUACUGCUGUAUCAAAAGACGAGUGAGUAUGUUGCAUAACCAGCAGAAAUGGUAGACACGAACACAGUAUAAAAACAUUUUAGAUGGGUAUAUAACUUUGGACAGGUCAAGGAGCAAAUAUUAUUUACAGUUUUACAUGACCAGACUAUAGCAUGUCAUUUUAAUCUUUCAUUACAAUUAUCAAUACAAUGGUUAUAUUUCUUAAUUUUGAGGAUAAUUUCCACAACUGUGAAAAUAGUAAUGAGUAAUUACAUUUGCCUUUUUAUAACUAAAUCAUAAUCUGAUAUAAGUAUGUAUAAUAUACAUUAACUUUAAUGGUUGAAUGCAAAAUAAUUGUA